rnacentral:rRNA from 1 species
AGUGAACGCUGGCGGUAGGCCUAACACAUGCAAGUCGAACGGCAGCACAGUAAGAGCUUGCUCUUACGGGUGGCGAGUGGCGGACGGGUGAGGAAUACAUCGGAAUCUACUUUUUCGUGGGGGAUAACGUAGGGAAACUUACGCUAAUACCGCAUACGACCUACGGGUGAAAGCAGGUGAUCUUCGUACCUUGCGCGAUUGAAUGAGCCGAUGUCGGAUUAGCUAGUUGGCGGGGUAAAGGCCCACCAAGGCGACGAUCCGUAGCUGGUCUGAGAGGAUGAUCAGCCACACUGGAACUGAGACACGGUCCAGACUCCUACGGGAGGCAGCAGUGGGGAAUAUUGGACAAAGGGCGCAAGCCUGAUCCAGCCAUACCGCGUGGGUGAAGAAGGCCUUCGGGUUGUAAAGACCUUUUGUUGGGAAAGAAAAGCAGCAGGUUAAUACCCCGCUGUUCUGACGGUACCCAAAGAAUAAGCACCGGCUAACUUCGUG